rnacentral:lncRNA from 1 species
UAAGUACUAUUAAUCCUGAAUUACUAAAAUCCUUCUUAGAAAAAGGUGGCUUAACUAACGAAAGAAAGAUGGAACCAGAUGCUUCUUUUAAAGAAAACGCUUUGCCUUACCUGUAACUCUAUUAUUCUUUUUAUCCUAGCCUAGGCUACUACACAAAGACAAAGUCCCAGUGCACCCCCGGGCAGCCCCAUUCACGAAAGCUUUCACUAUUUCCAAACACGCUGUGGAAGUUGGUGUAGGAAUAGUUGACCUCCCUACCCCCGAUUAAGGAGGUUCAUUGGGCUCAGGCGGUACGGGUAUGAAAUCCCGCCCUUCUUUGAUUUGAGGUAAGAGCGGAGCAGCGGGGACGGAGUUAUGAACCUGGCCCAGUGAAUUAGAUUCACAAUUGGUCAAGGAUCGCUCUUCUGAUGCAGGGCUUCCCCAUGCCCAUUCCCAGAGUCGCACUGUGGGCUCCCUUAAAUGUGGACUGUACUAGCAAAGCCAACCAUUGCGCGAGUGCCCCAGAGAGCUCCGAAAAGAGCUCCCUGAUUCUACUAAACGGACUCCAAAAAUGUAGCUGUUGCUCCCCGUCCUCCUGCUGCGAUGACGUGGGGGGGGGGGGGGACUAGACCAUAAGGCAAAUCUCAAUUACUUUCUUUCCUUUUGUUUUAGUUAUCCUAUAUCAUAUGACUGAACAACUCUUUUGACUGCUGACCCAUAGGAGGAAGCAUGGCACUCGUUAUUUUGUAUGGAAACCCAUGGAAACAAAGGCCUCGAAAGAGGAAGCAAUGGGUACCCUAGGUUAGCUUCCUUUGCAAAAGGCAACCCUCAAUUACUUUCUUUCCUAAACCACAUAAGCCGGGGCAAAGAACUACAUAUGGUCUGAUACUUACUUCCUUGAAAAGAGGCAAACUAGUUAUGUAGGCAGUUGCCGUUCAAGUCGGUUGCUUGACCAAAGCCGGUCAAUAUAUCUGAUCUAGGCAAUCCUGUAAUGAAAUCCAUUGUUACUGUUUUCCAAUGCACAAUUAGUAGAAAAGGCUCUAAUAACCCAGGAAUCUUUAUAUUCUAUCCUUUGUUUAGCUGAUAAGCGAAAGAACUACUCAAUUUGAUCUAUUGCUAUAGCUAUUGCGCACAACCUUUCCUUGCUCUCGCUCUUCGCCAGGUUCCACAAUAAGGAACACUUGGUUCAUACUUUUAUUCUUUAGCCAGCGUAGCUACUCUGAUUGGUUUCAUCCCUAGCUUGCAACAACUACUAUCUGUUUCUUUAUCAGAAGCUUUAACAAGCUUCUUUCGCUUAGAAUGUUCUAUUUUUUUCCAAUUUUCCAUGGUAUGAAAGCGCUUUGGUCGACUGGAACAGUUAGGGAACAAGGAACAGGGGGACGAUAAAGGAACUUGUUCACAUAUGAUAUUACAAAGAAAAGGGUUGAUGCAGAGCUUAUUGAAAAAAAGGGGGCUUCUCACAAACGAGUGGGAGUUUUCAAUUCCGGAUCAACAAGGCCAAGUAGCCAUGGCCCAUCUUAAGAGAUUAAGUGCUUCAUUUCACUUAAAACCUACAUUCCCUCCAGGAGCACUCUUUCUUAUACAUUUGCUCGGUUGACUGAGUGCAUUUACUAGCAUUUUCUUAUCCUUUGAGAUAGGAAUCCAUCAAUAAGAAUAAAGAUUAGAACUCUUGCUCGGCGUGGCGGCUUGGCCAUAUUAAACUAUUGAAGUGGGUCUUUCUCCUAUACACACACUCCGAGGGGAGCAAAAAGAACUCUCAUCCUCAAUUCAUUCCUCUGGGUACAGUGAAGAAAUAACUCCAGGCCCCAUUGUAUUGUUUUCAGGGACCCAUUUUCCAGUACAAGAAAACAACCACUCACGACUGAGGCUCCUGAAGAGGAGAGUCAGAUUUCGAGGUCAUAGAACUCAAGCUGCAUGUACAAAUAGAGAGAGUAGAGUUAUUUAUGCUAGGAUCAAUUUUAUGGUAUGGCAAAGUUGGGCGAUAGUUUGGCCUUAAGGUGGAAGUGGCGGGACGUGGGUGGAUCCGGAAUUCAAUUAUCAGGGCAAUCUUCGAAUAGCUCACCGAACGAGUACAAUAACGCUCCCAAGUGAAUGGUUUCCACCAUGGAAUGAAGCUGAGACUGGGAUGACAGCCAGGAUCCUCUCUUCAAGCCGAUGGCUAAUAAGAUGAUGCCAGUAUUGGAUACGGAAAUGAAAGGCACAUUACUUCUAUCGAAAUUGAUAUCACAAUUUCCACUAGGCGAGAAAAGAUCAUAGUAUGAGUUGUCAGUAGUUGGAGUAGGUUCCAGCUAGGUGAGAAUCCUUAACUGGCUAUAUAUAGUGCCAACUUUGACUCAACUAAGCCCUUCUGCAGUGAUUUCGCUUGCUUCAAUAAGAUGUUUGUUUCUGGUUACCGUUUAGAAAGGGAUCAACUUUUCAAUCCAUUUCUAUCGAGCAAGACUAAGCAAUAUGAAGGUGGUAAUUUUGUAUCUUUCGCAAUACGUAGGCUUCCAUCCCCUGCCACUCUUACGAAGCCAUUAAGUUAGGCGCACUAUAGAGGGGGUUAAAUCACUCUUUAAUCGUUUCAUGAUGGAUUCCCCGCAAGGGGUAGGUAAAGGAAGUUCUAUUCUAGGAGGGAUUUGUUAAACAAAGUAGGCUUCUUAUUCUUCAGGUGACUAGAAUUCAGCGUACGCAAGUGGGAGCAAAACAAAAGGAUUUGUGAUUCUUACCCACCUAUAUCCGUAAUUCUAGUUCUAGAUUGGGCUCGUGGAGCUCAUAGUGGAUCAAGAGAUUAUACAAACGAAUUUGUCCCCGAGACAGCAUCCCAAGCAACCAGAGAAGGGUUUGUGGUUCUACUCAUAAGAGUGCGCUUGAAUCGAAAUCAAUAUCAAUGUUGUAUUCAAGCCAAAUGCUUUCCCUAGCUUUAGGUUGGCUCUCUCGCUAUAUCCACCCGGAUAUCACUUUGUUCACCUACUCUGUGUGGGGAAUUUCCAGUCAGGGAUUUAUCCCCAUUCCGAGUAAGAGUAAUUCACUCACCUCUAUUUGAUAAAAAUGUGGGGUAUAAUUUGUUGAUUCUCGGAUACAAAUAUAUCAAAUGGGAUACAUCAAACUAGCAUGUCCACUGACUCACGUGUGGUAUUUGAAAGGUUUUCCUAGUUAUAUCGCAAAUGUGCUAAAUAAACCCCGUAAUCCUCAACUUGAUUUAUAAGAAAAAGAUCAUAGCCGCUUGAGAGUUGAGGAGCUUGCUCAAGAACCAAGCGCCGGCCAUGGACUGGACGGCCCUCGUUCGGGAAGGUCUUCUUCGCUAUAGAUGCCACCAAGAACAAGAAAGGGGAUAUACACGGGUGAUUGACCGCCAAUUGAUCUUCAUUGAUUCAUUCAUCCAUUCAGCUUUGAAAUCGGAGACAAGGAAAACAACUUCAUAGAAGUGCCGCGGAUCAAUAUAGAGAUGCGAACCAAUAUCCUUUUCCUGGUGGACUCUGAAGUACUCGUCUUUUGCACAAGGCCUCGUGUCAAAUAACAUCAAACCACAUCCAUGUCCUCCUACCUCGCCCAUUUGCUGAGAUCAUCUACAUUUUGCUUCGUGUCGAGCUCCAAUCGGCCCAAACGUUUUCCUUCGGGAGGGAUUGCUGCUUUCUUUCUAUAGUGAGGCUGGCUUCAUUUCCCAUUGUCAUUUCUUUUUCCAAAAACUCAUUUGCUAAAGUAGAAUAGUUCAAAUUCAUGCACUGCUAGAGCAAACACACUUCUUGGGAUUGAUGUCGUCUCCGUCUACUUUUUCUCUUAACUCACUCAGAGAUCAGCCAGCCAGGGUAAAGAAUAAGAAAAAAUGUUCCAGUAAUAGAGAUUGCCUUCAGCAGGAAGAUGAGUAGAUCGCUCACCUGGAACUUCUUAGCCCUCUUUCCUUUAGAAGAAAAACCUUUGUGAAUGCUAGCCCUGGACCAAGGCUGGCUAUAGGCGGAUCGCCCAACCGAUCAUAAUCAUAGGUUCAACCACACCUGAAAUGUGUUUAUACAUUAGGAAAACUUACUACACUGGAACCUAGAUAUCAAUGCAACUAGGAAGUAGAAGCAAGGGCAGACCCGUUUGUUUACCAAACGAGCUUAUCGCCGGGCUCAUGGGCUAUGCUUCAAGUGCGGGGAACUACCCUGUAUGCGGUCCAUGUACCCUCACCUAUGAAAUGGAUAACCCUUGCAGCCAUAGAAGCAGGAUUUUCAGGGCUUCUGUCAUUAUCUCAUUGGAUUCCCACUUCCGGUACUUCCAACUGCUCCUUGGAUGCGUAUAUGACCCUAAAAAGGUCUUCCUGGUGUUACCAUCAAGGGAAAGGCUUACUAAAAGGAGGAAGCUCACUUCCAACCCAGUCAAAAGAUCUCACUAGGGAGAAAGCGGAAGUGAAAGACAGGCUACUAAUAAAAAUCCCUCAUUGCAUCGUUAGUUCUUGGAUCUCUUUAAUUUGCAAACAGUGAAGCCUAUACCAAUUGUCUCUACCCUCCCCAUCUAAGCUCUGUCUUGAGCAUCUGCCACAUCUAACUGCAAGCCUUGCUUUCCAUUGACUAAUUCUCUGUUCCAGGUACAAGUCAAGUGGUCAGGGGAUGGAUUCCUGGUGAAGAGCACUUUUGGAUUAUCUAGUUGUUGCUUUGACUACGCCAAUACCCACGAUUAAAGAAAUACGAUUCCUAGCACUAUAAAAUGCAUAUAAAGGGUCCAAUACGAAUUCAUGCAAUGGAAUGAAAUAAGGGUUUAAGCCGGGGAUUAAAUAAAAGGAAUUAUGUACUAGUGAUGCUAGGCCGGGGAAAUGGACUACCCAAUUCCCGAAACCUAUUACUUUAUCUAGCCGGUGCCGAAGCCGAGAAUGAUGCCCUUUGCCCCGGAGGGGUCGAUUUAGCAUAUUUUCGAUUGGUAUUUCCUAUUGGUAUUCCGAGCGAUAUUCCUAUUCGUAUUCGUAUUUAAUUGAAAGCGUAGGUUCAUAGUCAUAUAUCGUAGGAAUUAUCAUAUUUCCUUGCGGAGGAUAUUCACUGCUAUAGAACUACAGCAUGGAUCUAUUAUAAAAGAGAAAUCACUUCAAACUCUUCCACUUACUCCUGUUUGGUUUGCUUCUAUUUUCAGUUGAACAUUCUUCUUUGACACAAUCAACUUCUUGAUCCCUAAGCAAUCAUUUAGUGGAAAAGGAAGUGAUUGAGCGAUGACAACCAGGAGGUGGGCUUGGAAGCAGCCAUCCUUUACUUUAAAGAAAAGAAAUUCGUAUAGAAAGAUGGACUAGCUCGAGACCUUGGCUUCAAACAAUCGAUUGAAUCUGGAUUCCUUUGCUUAUCCUUCCUGGCUAUAGUCUAUCUUGUGCCUUCGGCAGUUCAGUUAAAUAUUUCUGUAUCAGCAGUUUGUUUCCCCAUUUGCUCAAAGCACGCAUAAAACCUGUUCCCUCACCGUAUCAAAAGAUCAAGCAGAAGAGUCCUCUUCUUCAAGAAGAGUUUUUCAUUUAACUCUUCAGCAGCAAUGCCCGGGCAAUAAAACAAUCUGAGAAAAUCUGCUAAACAAUAUAUCAUUUCAAACGGUAUGUGCUGGUUGGAUAGAGCAAUC